rnacentral:rRNA from 1 species
GACGAACGCUGGCGGCGUGCUUAACACAUGUAAGUCGAACGGUGAACCUCUUCGGAGGGGAUCAGUGGCGAACGGGUGAGUAACACGUGGGCAACCUGCCCCCGGCUCUGGGAUAACUCCAAGAAAUUGGGGCUAAUACCGGAUGUUCACCGCUUCCCGCAUGGGUGGUGGUGCAAAGGGUUUCCGGCUGGGGAUGGGCCCGCGGCCUAUCAGCUUGUUGGUGGGGUAGUGGCCUACCAAGGCGACGACGGGUAGCCGGCCUGAGAGGGUGACCGGCCACACUGGGACUGAGACACGGCCCAGAGUCCUACGGGAGGCAGCAGUGGGGAAUAUUGCGCAAUGGGCGGAAGCCUGACGCAGCGACGCCGCGUGGGGGAUGACGGCCUUCGGGUUGUAAACCUCUUUCAGCAGGGACGAAGCGCAAGUGACGGUACCUGCAGAAGAAGCACCGGCCAACUACGUG